rnacentral:rRNA from 1 species
AAAUUGAAGAGUUUGAUCAUGGCUCAGAUUGAACGCUGGCGGCAGGCCUAACACAUGCAAGUCGAACGGUAACAGGAAGCAGCUUGCUGCUUUGCUGACGAGUGGCGGACGGGUGAGUAAUGUCUGGGAAACUGCCCGAUGGAGGGGGAUAACUACUGGAAACGGUAGCUAAUACCGCAUAACGUCGCAAGACCAAAGAGGGGGACCUUAGGGCCUCUUGCCAUCGGAUGUGCCCAGAUGGGAUU